rnacentral:rRNA from 1 species
GAGUUUGAUCUUGGCUCAGAUUGAACGCUGGCGGAAUGCUUUACACAUGCAAGUCGAGCGGCAGCGCGGGGCAACCUGGCGGCGAGCGGCGAACGGGUGAGUAAUGCAUCGGAACAUGUCCAUGUCGUGGGGGAUAGCCCGGCGAAAGCCGGAUUAAUACCGCAUACGCCCGAGAGGGGAAAGCCGGGGACCGCAAGGCCUGGCGCGAUUGGGUUGGCCGAUGUCCGAUUAGCUAGUUGGCGGGGUAAGAGCCCACCAAGGCGAUGAUCGGUAGCUGGUCUGAGAGGAUGAUCAGCCACACUGGGACUGAGACACGGCCCAGACUCCUACGGGAGGCAGCAGUGGGGAAUUUUGGACAAUGGGGGAAACCCUGAUCCAGCCAUUCCGCGUGAGUGAAGAAGGCC